GCGCCAGUGGUGUAAGGCGAACAUCGCUGUCCGGAAAGCAGAAGAUGCGGGUUCAAGUCCCGCCUGGCGCA
rfam:Heligmosomoides polygyrus genome assembly, scaffold: HPBE_scaffold0002907